UAACCUUGUGUGACAGUAACUCCUUCUAGGAACAUGUGCAUCCAGCUUUCCAGGAGGCUGUCUGUCACACCAGGAAA
rnacentral:pre_miRNA from 1 species